CUUGAUGAAUUGUCGUAUGUUGUUGUUAAUUCUCUUGAUAUGAUGAUGAAGUUCCAAUAUUUUUGAGUUUUCAAAUCUGGCCCGUGUGAAUUUGCAGGGUAUUCAUAACGAUCAUGUUAAGAACCAGUGGAACCUCCAUGGAAGGAAAAGUAACUUGGGAUAGAAGGAGAUGAUGAUAUGAAAGCAUGAAGAUGGUGGAUGUUAAUGCUUAGGAAUUUGAAUUAAAUGUUAGAACCUUAUGUCAUGAGCUUGUAUUUUUGAAUUUGAUUCAUAUGUAAGAUAUCAACAUGAUUAUGUACUUGAACCUUGAAUUUUGAAUUUGAAGUUGGUAAUUGGAUGGAAUGUUUGGAUUUGUAUAUGA